AUUGAACGCUGGCGGCGCGCCUAAUACAUGCAAGUCGAGCGAGAAGACGUAGCAAUACGUUUGUAAAGCGGCGAACGGGUGAGGAAUACAUGGGUAACCUACCCUCGAGUGGGGAAUAACUAGCCGAAAGGUUAGCUAAUACCGCGUACGCUCCUUGGACUUCGGUUCAGGGAGGAAAGCGAUACCGUGGGUAUCGCGCUCUUGGUUGGGCUCAUGUCCUAUCAGCUUGUUGGUGAGGAACGGCUCACCAAGGCUUCGACGGGUAGCUGGUCUGAGAGGACGAUCAGCCACACUGGCACUGCGACACGGGCCAGACUCCUACGGGAGGCAGCAGUAAGGAAUAAUUGCG
rnacentral:rRNA from 1 species